ACUCCUACGGGAGGCAGCAGUGGGGAAUAUUGCACAAUGGGCGCAAGCCUGAUGCAGCCAUGCCGCGUGUGUGAAGAAGGCCUUCGGGUUGUAAAGCACUUUCAGUCGUGAGGAAGGUAGUGUAGUUAAUAGCUGCAUUAUUUGACGUUAGCGACAGAAGAAGCACCGGCUAACUCCGUGCCAGCAGCCGCGGUAAUACGGAGGGUGCGAGCGUUAUCCGGAUUUAUUGGGUUUAAAGGGUCCGUAGGCGGAUUAAUAAGUCAGUGGUGAAAUCCCAUCGCUUAACGAUGGAACUGCCAUUGAUACUGUUAGUCUUGAAUGAGGGUGCAGUGGUUGGAAUGUGUAGUGUAGCGGUGAAAUGCAUAGAUAUUACACAGAACACCGAUUGCGAAGGCAGAUCACUAACCCUAAAUUGACGCUGAGGGACGAAAGCGUGGGGAGCGAA
rnacentral:rRNA from 1 species